rnacentral:rRNA from 1 species
CCGCGGGAACACCGGCGGCCCGAGUGGUGAUCGUGAUUAUUGGGUCUAAAGGGUCCGUAGCCGGUUUGGUCAGUCCUCCGGGAAAUCUGAUAGCUCAACUAUUAGGCUUUCGGGGGAUACUGCCAGACUUGGAACCGGGAGAGGUAAGAGGUACUACAGGGGUAGGAGUGAAAUCUUGUAAUCCCUGUGGGACCACCUGUGGCGAAGGCGUCCUACCAGAACGGGUUCGACGGUGAGGGACGAAAGCUGGGGGCACGAGCCGAAUUAGAUACCCGGGUAGUCCCAGCCGUAAACGAUGCUCGCUAGGUGUCAGGCAUGGCGCGACCGUGUCUGGUGCCGCAGGGAAGCCGUGAAGCGAGCCACCUGGGAAGUACGGCCGCAAGGCUGAAACUUAAAGGAAUUGGCGGGGGAGCACAACAACGGGUGGAGCCUGCGGUUUAACUGGACUCAACGCCGGACAACUCACCGGGGGCGACAGCGAUAUGUAGGCCAAGCUGAAGACUUUGCCUGAAUCGCUGAGGAGUGGUGCAUGG